rnacentral:misc_RNA from 1 species
GAUGAAGAACGUAGUGAAAUGCGAAAAGUAGUGUGAAUUGCAGAAUUCAGUGAAUCAUCGAAUCUUUGAACGCACAUUGCGCCCCUUGGUAUUCCAUGGGGCAUGCCUGUUCGAGCGUCAUUUGUACCCUCAAGCUCUGCUUGGUGUUGGGUGUUUGUCCCGUUUCACGCGUGGACUCGCCUUAAAGCAAUUGGCAGCCGGCAUACUGGCCUUGGAGCGCAGCACAAUUUGCGCUUCUUGCCCUGAAUGUCAGCGUCCAUCAAGUCUACAUUUUUACUCUUGACCUCGGAUCAGGUAGGGAUACCCGCUGAACUUAAGCAUAUCAAUAAGCGGAGGA